AACGCUGGCGGCAGGCCUAACACAUGCAAGUCGAGCGGAUGAUGGGAGCUUGCUCCCGGAUUCAGCGGCGGACGGGUGAGUAAUGCCUAGGAAUCUGCCUGGUAGUGGGGGACAACGUUUCGAAAGGAACGCUAAUACCGCAUACGUCCUACGGGAGAAAGCAGGGGACCUUCGGGCCUUGCGCUAUCAGAUGAGCCUAGGUCGGAUUAGCUAGUUGGUGGGGUAAAGGCCUACCAAGGCGACGAUCCGUAACUGGUCUGAGAGGAUGAUCAGUCACACUGGAACUGAGACACGGUCCAGACUCCUACGGGAGGCAGCAGUGGGGAAUAUUGGACAAUGGGCGAAAGCCUGAUCCAGCCAUGCCGCGUGUGUGAAGAAGGUCUUCGGAUUGUAAAGCACUUUAAGUUGGGAGGAAGGGCAGUAAGUUAAUACCUUGCUGUUUUGACGUUACCAACANAAUAAGCACCGGCUAACUUCGUGCCAGCAGCCGCGGUAAUACGAAGGGUGCAAGCGUUAAUCGGAAUUACUGGGCGUAAAGCGCGCGUAGGUGGUUUGGUAAGAUGGAUGUGAAAUCCCCGGGCUCAACCUGGGAACUGCAUCCAUAACUGCCUGACUAGAGUACGGUAGAGGGUGGUGGAAUUUCCUGUGUAGCGGUGAA
rnacentral:rRNA from 1 species